rnacentral:lncRNA from 1 species
GUGUUGACUCAUGACAAAAUGGACAUCCUCAGGAUAAAUGCUUAUUACUUUAAAUCACAAUGGAGAGGUCUACAAUAUUUCUGAAACUUCUUCAGGAGCAGAACUGAAUGAACUUUGGAGCUGCUUGGGCUCUGAUAGAAUUAGUCCUUCUUAGCAGCCGGUAUGUAUGUUGUUGGACUGGGAAUGUUUGCUAGUCUGUUUCAGUUAUGGACAGCUGGUGUUAGC